UGAACAGGCCAUUCCAUCUGUCUGUGAAGCUACUACCUUUUUCACCGAUGCUCAUAUCGAGCAGAAGAAAGUGUCCGACGUCAUUUGGCUUUUGAUCUCUCUGCUCAGUACGACUCCAUUCCCACUCUAGUCGAGUUCAUUCUCUGAAAUGUCUCAAGAAUCACAAUUUAUCUUUGUUUUGUGACUCUCUGCAUUUCCAGUUCUGCUUUCCACUGUUGUGGGUACUACGCAUAUUUAGCCUCGAAGUUGUUUGAUUAAAUGCCUCAAAGAAGUAUAUGGGAAUCAUAUUGGGGACUACUACAACCUGCAAAGGUUCUAAUAAGAGCACCUUCGAGUUAGGUUAGGUGACGCACUCAACUGCUUCAGUGAUUGUCAGCAGACUCACUGAUGAAGUGAAGAAUUGGAAACUGAGACGCACAGAAUAAGUAGACCAACUCAGGAUCUCCUCAUCUAGUUUCAUCUCCUGUACUGCGUGAAAGUGCUCUGUUGGGUCACAGACUCACAGGGACUUGUUUAGUCCAACUGAAUAUGUCAGUGCAAGGAGUCCAGCUGUUUCUGGCGGUAGGACCUGAAAAGGUUCAUAAUGCAGUAGGAAGUCUGGAAGUGUUCCGUUGAUAUGC
rnacentral:sRNA from 1 species